rnacentral:lncRNA from 1 species
UCACCCUACUCUAAUAAGGCUUUAAUAUCUAGGGCUCACAGGUGGGAGAUAAAGUAUACAUACUUACAAGACAUUUAUUGUAUAGUCAAACCAUGGAUCCAAAGAAACAAAUCAAUAAGCCAAAUCAAGAUGUGCAUGUGUGGCGAAUGAAUGGUGUAUGGUGAUGAUGGUGAUAACAAUGGUGAAAGUCUAAUUCUACUUUUUGCUCUUUUGUGGGGAUACAUACCUUCCUUGCUUUCUGAAACUUUAUGAGGAGAAUGAGAUGCUCUUCUUUUUUCCUUUUCUUUCCUCUCAGGUGGGUAUCUUGUACCCCUAAUUCUACUGUCAGACACUUGUCCAUUUUUACCUCUCGUCUCACUUUUUCUUUUCUUUCGAGGUUCCAAGCACUUGCCCCUUUUUAUUUCCUCGUAUCUUUUCUCUUUUUUUUAGAGCACUCAUCUCUUGAGAUAAUAUAGCAAGUGGUAGUAACAAGAUAACUUGAGCAUUUAUUUCACAAGGAAAAACAGAAAUAUUUUUGGCUAUUCUCUCCUGGAUCAGGAGUAGAAUAUUUUUAGGUGAUUCUGGAGAUGGAAAUGAGUGGAUAUAUGUGGAUGGUACUUCCGGAGUAGAAGCAGCAUAUGUGAGUGAACGUACAAGUGAAUCUUGAUUUAACCACAUGACAAGCUCCUAAGGGUCUACACACCUUGACCACACUCAAUGCUCAUAGGCAGUAAAUAGUAAAUAUGUGGCUCAAAGUCUAGCAAGCAUGUAUAUAUGGCUGU